GGGCUAGGGAUGUAGCUCAGUGGAGAAGUACUUGCUUUGUAUAUGUGAGGCCCAGGAUUCAACCCCUGGCACCA
rnacentral:miRNA from 1 species